GACGAACGCUGGCGGCGUGCUUAACACAUGCAAGUCGAACGGAAAGGCCCUGCUCUUGUGGGUUGCUCGAGUGGCGAACGGGUGAGUAACACGUGAGUAACCUCCCCUUGACUUUGGGAUAACUUCAGGAAACUGGGGCUAAUACCCGAUAGGAGCUCCUGCUGCACGGUGGGGGUUGGAAAGUUUCGGCGGUUGGGGAUGGACUCGCAGCUUAUCAGCUUGUUGGUGUGGUAGUGGCUUACCAAGGCUUUGACGGGUAGCCGGCCUAAGAGCGUGACCGGCCUCAUGAGGACUGAGAUACGGCCCAGACUCCUACGGGACGCAACAGGGGGGAGUAUUACACAAUGGGCGGGAGCCUGAGGCGGCGACGCCGCGUGCGGGAUGACGGCCUUCGGGUUGUAAACCAAUGUCGACUGAGACGAAGCGUGAGUGACGGUAAUGGGUAAAGAAGCACCGGCUAACUACGUG
rnacentral:rRNA from 1 species